rnacentral:sRNA from 1 species
CGCCAAGGUGGAGCACACCCGAGGAACUGGAGCUGGACGAGCUUCUAGAAGCCAUUGAGCAAGGCAGAGAGGAGCAGCGGCGGCGGCGGCGGCAGGCAGAACGUCUGAAGCCAUAUGUGGCUGCUCAACUGGAUGUGCUCCCCGAGACCUUCACCUUGGGGGACAAGAAGAACUACCGGGGCUUCUACAACCGGCCCCUGUCUCCGGACCUGAGCUACCAGUGCUUUGUGCUUGCCUCCUUGAAGGAACCGAUGGACCAGCCCCUACUCGGAUGAGAUCGUGGUCCAGGUGACACCAG